rnacentral:rRNA from 1 species
UACGGAGGGUGCGAGCGUUGUCCGGAAUCACUGGGCGUAAAGGGCGCGUAGGCGGCGCGGGGAGUCAACGGUGAAAGCUCGGCGCUCAACGCCGAGUCGGCCGUCGAUACUCCCGUGCUCGAGCACUGUAGAGGCAGGUGGAAUUCCGGGGUGUAGCGGUGGAAUGCGUAGAGAUCCGGAAGAACACCGGUGGCGAAGGCGGCCUGCUGGGCCAGUAGCUGGACGCCUGAGGCGCGACAGCGUGGGGAGGCAACACGGAUUGAGAUCCCGGGUAG